GUGGGGAAUUUUGGACAAUGGGCGAAAGCCUGAUCCAGCCAUGCCGCGUGCAGGAUGAAGGCCUUCGGGUUGUAAACUGCUUUUGUACGGAACGAAAAGACUCCUUCUAAUAAAGGGGGUCCAUGACGGUACCGUAAGAAUAAGCACCGGCUAACUACGUGCCAGCAGCCGCGGUAAUACGUAGGGUGCAAGCGUUAAUCGGAAUUACUGGGCGUAAAGCGUGCGCAGGCGGUUAUAUAAGACAGAUGUGAAAUCCCCGGGCUCAACCUGGGAACUGCAUUUGUGACGGUAUAGCUAGAGUACGGUAGAGGGGGAUGGAAUUCCGCGUGUAGCAGUGAAAUGCGUAGAUAUGCGGAGGAACACCGAUGGCGAAGGCAAUCCCCUGGACCUGUACUGACGCUCAUGCACGAAAGCGUGGGGAGCAAACAGGAUUAGAAACCCCGGUAGUCC
rnacentral:rRNA from 1 species